AGCAACUUAAACAAACGGUAAAAAAAAAAUCUACAAAAGUAAUGUUAAAGAUCGUAAGAUUUUAGCAGUGUUCUUUGAGCUACUCAAUUGUUUUCCGAUGUUAGCUGGAAAAAGCUGAGAAACAGUACAGAAAAAUCCAACCUGCAUAUCCAACCAACUAUAUAUAUAUAUAAUCCAUGAAAGACACGACAACCAGAGAAACAAAAAGAAAAUUCAAAUUGAACUGAUAUGAACUAAAUUACUAACAAAGUAAAUCUCAAACAACAAAAACCAGCACAAGAUCCCCGAAAUAAUAUAUAAACAAAUCCUCCUUAUAAAAACACCCAGUACACCAAACAAAAAUAAAUCCAGUUCAUGAAAAACUUGAAAAAUUCACGGAGAGAAUAAAUAACCCACGUAUAUAUAAAUCUAACUGUACAUGCAAUUAAAUCACAUAAGAUUGAAUCUUGACCAUAACCCAUAAGGAAACUAUAUAUUUCUAUACAUAUGAUGCAUAAGAGAUGAAAACACAGAGAGAAACAUACCAAAUGAAGCUGACCUUGUAAGACAUAACUGCGACAUGCAUCAAUGAUAGAAAAGUCGUUUCUUGAAAAUCUAAUUAAACCAAUCAAAACCCAAUAUCAGAUGGGUUUUUCUGCUUAAAUUAAUGGUUUCAGCAGUGAUGGAAGUAAAUAAGAAAAAGGCUUAAAUUUUUUAGGGAAACAUAUAGAGAAGCUAGCUAUAAAUCUAAUACCAGAACCACAAACUACUUGCCCCAGUCUCAUGUCAUAGCUAAAACACAUCAAUUUAUGAGAACUUCUGAAAGGCACAAGAAAAAGACAUAAAAAAGAUUAAGGAAAUACUGAAUCUGAAACCCCCAUGUAUGAAGGUGACAACUCAAUUCUGUGAAACAAAAACUUCAUUUGCACUCAACGCCGACUUCAGCAGCACGCCUAGGCUUAUUUUUCCUCCUGCUUCUAUUUGGUCUGAACCCAACGGACUUGAUCAAGUCAGAAGCGUUAGUUUUGAUUCCCACGCCAUUUUCCUCUUUCACUAAAUCUGCAUUUUCAUUGACUUGAGAAGGCCUUAUCCUUUUUCGGCCUUUCUCUGUAGCAGCUAGAUUCUUAGUACUUCUAUUCAAUCCGGAACUUUUCGAAUCCUGGCCAUUUUCUUCCUCUUCUUCUAUCUUCUUGACUUCAUCUUCUUCCUCAAAUUCAUCCUUCAAUGGUUUUUGUGGCCUUCCUCUUCUCCUAGAUGGUAUCUUCUCAUCCUCGCCACUUCCAACAUCAUCACGAGCAGCAAUAGCCGAUUGUUUCUUACCUUUUCCUCUUCCUCUACCCAUUUUUCAAAUCAGCAACUUAAACAAACGGUAAAAAAAAAUCUACAAAAGUAAUGUUAAAGAUCGUAAGAUUUUAGCAGUGUUCUUUGAGCUACUCAAUUAUUUUCCGAUGUUAGCUGGAAAAAGCUGAGAAACAGUACAGAAAAAUCCAACCUGCAUAUCCAACCAACUAUAUAUAUAUAUAAUCCAUGAAAGACACGACAACCAGAGAAACAAAAAGAAAAUUCAAAUUGAACUGAUAUGAACUAAAUUACUAACAAAGUAAAUCUCAAACAACAAAAACCAGCACAAGAUCCCCGAAAUAAUAUAUAAACAAAUCCUCCUUAUAAAAACACCCAGUACUCCAAACAAAAAUAAAUCCAGUUCAUGAAAAACUUGAAAAAUUCACGGAGAGAAUAAAUAACCCACGUAUAUAUAAAUCUAACUGUACAUGCAAUUAAAUCACAAAAGAUUGAAUCUUGACCAUAACCCAUAAGGAAACUAUAUAUUUCUAUACAUAUGAUGCUUAAGAGAUGAAAACACAGAGAGAAACAUACCAAAUGAAGCUGACCUUGUAAAACAUAACUGCGACAUGCAUCAAUGAUAGAAACAGUCGUUUCUUGAAAAUCUAAUUAAACCAAUCAAAACCCAAUAUCAGAUGGGAUUUUCUGUUUAAAUUAAUGGUUUCAGCAGUGAUGAAAGUAAAUGAGUAAAAGGCUUAAAUAUUUUAGAGAAAAAUGAAAAGAAGUUUGAUAUGGGUGAGAAAAACGAAGGCCAUAUGUCUGAGAUGUAAAAAUAUUCAGAAAAUGGGUUGAGAUUUGAAGAGAUCCAUGUAGUUUUGUAUUGACGAUUAAAGAAAAAGGCUAAGGCAAAGCGCUAAGGGAGGCAAGACUGCAAGAAGAGAAGCGUGGCGAAGAAAAAAGGGUAUUUAUUUUUAUUUGAUGGGUUGUUUGGGAAAUUAGGGUAGAGUGUGAAUGAAGGUAAAAUUGAUCUUUUUUUAACAAUAAAAUUAUGAGAACAUAAUAAAAGGAGAAAAGAUCUGGCCAAUAUAUAAUUGGUGGG
rnacentral:lncRNA from 1 species